GAUCAACUCCAGAUCUGAGAGGGACUUGUAUCAACCUCUUCUCAAGAGAUUUCAGAUCCUAGACCUGAUGCUUGGGUGGCUGCAAGAGAGGGAGAAGAGAGAGAGUCGGCGGCUGCAAGGGGGAAGGGGCUAGCGCCUCCUUGCUUUUCUUUCCUUUUAUGGACCUGGCGACAAGAAACCCUAGGGUUUCUUGCUCCUGGGGCAUGGAGAAUGGCUGGAGAGAGAGGGAGAAGAGAGAGAGAGAUUUGGGAGAAAGAGUUCUGUAUUUUCUUGGCUUAAUCAAACCUAUACA
rnacentral:lncRNA from 1 species